rnacentral:rRNA from 1 species
UACGGAGGGGGCUAGCGUUGUUCGGAAUUACUGGGCGUAAGGCGCGCGUAGGCGGACCUGCAAGUCGGGGGUGAAAGCCCGAGGCUCAACCUCGGAACUGCCUUCGAUACUGCGGGUCUCGAGUCCGGGAGAGGUGAGUGGAAUUCCUAGUGUAGAGGUGAAAUGCGUAGAUAUCUGGAGGAACACCGGUGGCGAAGGCGGCAUUCUGGACCGACAUUGACGCUGAGGAGCGAAAGCCAGGGGAGCAAACGGG